rnacentral:rRNA from 2 species
AAAUUGAAGAGUUUGAUCAUGGCUCAGAUUGAACGCUGGCGGCAGGCCUAACACAUGCAAGUCGAACGGUAACAGGGAGCAGCUUGCUGCUUCGCUGACGAGUGGCGGACGGGUGAGUAAUGUCUGGGAAACUGCCUGAUGGAGGGGGAUAACUACUGGAAACGGUAGCUAAUACCGCAUAACGUCGCAAGACCAAAGAGGGGGACCUUCGGGCCUCUUGCCAUCAGAUGUGCCCAGAUGGGAUUAGCUUGUUGGUGGGGUAACGGCUCACCAAGGCGACGAUCCCUAGCUGGUCUGAGAGGAUGACCAGCCACACUGGAACUGAGACACGGUCCAGACUCCUACGGGAGGCAGCAGUGGGGAAUAUUGCACAAUGGGCGCAAGCCUGAUGCAGCCAUGCCGCGUGUAUGAAGAAGGCCUUCGGGUUGUAAAGUACUUUCAGCGGGGAGGAAGGUGUUGUGGUUAAUAACCGCAGCAAUUGACGUUACCCGCAGAAGAAGCACCGGCUAACUCCGUGCCAGCAGCCGCGGUAAUACGGAGGGUGCAAGCGUUAAUCGGAAUUACUGGGCGUAAAGCGCACGCAGGCGGUCUGUUAAGUCAGAUGUGAAAUCCCCGGGCUCAACCUGGGAACUGCAUCUGAUACUGGCAGGCUUGAGUCUCGUAGAGGGGGGUAGAAUUCCAGGUGUAGCGGUGAAAUGCGUAGAGAUCUGGAGGAAUACCGGUGGCGAAGGCGGCCCCCUGGACGAAGACUGACGCUCAGGUGCGAAAGCGUGGGGAGCAAACAGGAUUAGAUACCCUGGUAGUCCACGCCGUAAACGAUGUCGACUUGGAGGUUGUGCCCUUGAGGCGUGGCUUCCGGAGCUAACGCGUUAAGUCGACCGCCUGGGGAGUACGGCCGCAAGGUUAAAACUCAAAUGAAUUGACGGGGGCCCGCACAAGCGGUGGAGCAUGUGGUUUAAUUCGAUGCAACGCGAAGAACCUUACCUGGUCUUGACAUCCACGGAAGUUUUCAGAGAUGAGAAUGUGCCUUCGGGAACCGUGAGACAGGUGCUGCAUGGCUGUCGUCAGCUCGUGUUGUGAAAUGUUGGGUUAAGUCCCGCAACGAGCGCAACCCUUAUCCUUUGUUGCCAGCGGUCCGGCCGGGAACUCAAAGGAGACUGCCAGUGAUAAACUGGAGGAAGGUGGGGAUGACGUCAAGUCAUCAUGGCCCUUACGACCAGGGCUACACACGUGCUACAAUGGCAUAUACAAAGAGAAGCGACCUCGCGAGAGCAAGCGGACCUCAUAAAGUAUGUCGUAGUCCGGAUUGGAGUCUGCAACUCGACUCCAUGAAGUCGGAAUCGCUAGUAAUCGUGGAUCAGAAUGCCACGGUGAAUACGUUCCCGGGCCUUGUACACACCGCCCGUCACACCAUGGGAGUGGGUUGCAAAAGAAGUAGGUAGCUUAACCUUCGGGAGGGCGCUUACCACUUUGUGAUUCAUGACUGGGGUGAAGUCGUAACAAGGUAACCGUAGGGGAACCUGCGGUUGGAUCACCUCCUUACCUUAAAGAA